UUAUUUGGGUUGGGAGGUAACCACACACAGGUAAAGGUUGGCCAGGUGGAUGCUGGGAAUGUACGGUGAUUGCCAUGGCAACAGAUUCACAGAUUCCUCUUGCCUAUGAGUGAUGUCUCCGUCAUCCCUAGAUUUGGAGAUUGGUUGAUGUAGAAACAGCAUACUUCUUGGAGGAACAGGCAAAGACCACCUUCUUUAGCUGUCAGGACAUCCAGCCCCAUCCGUUCUGAAGUACCACAGCUGCCAAAGAAACGUUGUUUCUAGAUGAUCCAGCAGACCGGAUGGUACCUGAGGUGUCACUGGCAGAUAAAGAUGCUGUUUGGAGCUUCUGGCAGGCCCCUGUAGAUGAAUCACAGAAGAGACCUUUGAGAUUUUUGGAGCAAAGCUCUACCAUCUGCAGACCACUAUUCUCCCUUUGAAAAACAGCUUUUGGCCUGCUAUUGUGCCUUAGUGGAAACUGAACUUUUGACAAUAGGACACCAAUUUACCAUGCAACCUGAACUGCCUACCAUGAACUGGGUGUCCUAAAGUAGGAUGUACAAAGCAGCAUUCUCUUAUCAAAUGGAAGUGGUAUAUAUGUGAUUGGGCCCAAGUAGGUCCUGAAGGCACAAGAAAGCUAUAUGAAGAAGUUGUUCAAAUACCUGGGAUUUUUUUUCUCCUGUUACAAUGCCAUCUGCUGCCAAGCAUGCACCUAUAGACUCAUGGGGUGUUCCCUGUGAUCGCCUGACUAAAGAAGAGUAAUAACUGAUUUACUGAUGGCUCUGAAUGUUAUGCAGGCACCAACCAGAAGUGGACAACCCCUUUCCGAGACAACCCUGAAAGAUAAAAGUGAAGAAAAAUCUUCACAAUGGGCAGAACUUUGAGCAAUACACAUGGUAUUACAGUUUUCUUUUUGAAGAAGAAAUGGCCAGAUGUACAAUUUUUCACUGACUCAUGGGCUGUAGCCAAUGGAUUGGCUGGAAGGCCAGAACUUGGAAAGAUCAUGACUGGAAAAUUGGUGAGAAAGACAUCUGGGAAAGAAGUAUGUGUGUAGAUUUCUCCAAAUGGGCAAAGGAUGCGAAGAUAUUUGUGUCCCAUGUAAAUGCUCAGCAAAAGGUGACUUCAGCUGAGGAGAAGUUCAAUAAUCAAGUGGAUAAGUGUGGACAUUCAGACUCUUUCCCCAGCCAUCCCUGUCAUUGCUCAAUGGGCACAUGGACAAAGUGGCUAUGGUAGCCGAGAUGGAGGUUAUGCUUGGGCUCAACAACAUGGACUUCCAGUCAUCAAGGCUGACCUGGCGACACUUCUGCUGAAUACCAUAUCUGCCAACAGCAGAGACCAACACUGAGCCCCAAAUAUGGCACUAUUCCUCAAGGUGACCAGCCAGAAACCUGGUGGCAGAUUGACUACAUUUGACCACUUCCUCCCUGGAAAUUGUACUGUUUUGUUCUUACUGGAGUACAUACUUAUUCUGAUUAUGGAUUUGCCUUUCCUAUAUGUAAUGCUUCUGCCAAAACCACUAUUUGUGGACUUACAGGAGUCAUGGUAUUCCACACAGUAUUGUUUCUGACCAAAGAACUCAUUUCAUAGCCAGAGAAGUGCAACAGUAGACCCAUGAUCAUGGAAUCCAUUAAUCUUAUCAUGUUCCACAUCAUCCUGAAGCAGCUUGUCUGAUACAAAGGUGGGAUGGCUUUUUGAAGACACAGUUGCAGUGACAAUUAGGUGGCAGUAACAUGGAGGGCUGAGUCAGAGUUCUUUAGAAGGCAAUACAUGCUCUGAAUCAGCAUCCAAUAUAUGAUACACUUCCUCCCAUAUCCAGGAUCCAUGGGUCCAGGAAUUACUCCUAGUGAUCUUCUAGGAAAAUUUUUGCUUCCUGUCCCCCACAACUCUAGGUUCUGCUGGCCUAGAAAUUUUGGUUCCAGAGUGGGGGACGUGAUUCUACCAGGAGCCACAACAAACACUCCAUUGAACUGGAAGCUCAGACUUCCCCCCCUGGUUAUUUUGGUCUUCUAAUGCCCUUAAACCCACAGGAUAAGAAAGGAAUAACAGUGUUAUGAGAGGAGAUAGAUUCAGAUUACAAUGGAGAGAUUGCCUCUCCACAAUGGAGGUCAAAAGGAUUAUGUCUGGAAUGCAGGAAAUCCCUUAGGGUAUCUCUUAGUACUGCCAUGUCCUGUGAUUAAAAUCAAUGGGAAACUACAACAGCCUAAUCCAAACAGGAUGACAAAAGAUGCAGAUUCAUCAGGAAUGGAGGUGUGGGUCACUCCUCCAGGAAAAGAUCCAAGACCUGCUGAGGUGCUUGCAAAGAGUAGAGCAAAUACAGCAAAGGAAGGUCAUUAUAAAUACCAGUGAAGGCCAUGUAACCAGUUGCAGAAACAAGGAUUAUAAAGUAAUAUGAAUGCUUCUGUUUUAUUUUGUUAAGAACAAAUUUGUCUUUUUCCAAUUUCUUUAACAUCCAUUGGUAUUUAAGUUGAAAUACUGAAAGAAUGUUCCCAAGGGACAUUGCCCCUUUAUAAAUUUACAAAUGCAUUUUACAAAUGGAAUAAUUAUAUCAUGUUAGGGAUAUUCAUGACCUUGUUAUUGUUUCGUGUGGAUAUGAGAUAUUAUUUGUGUCAAGUUGACAAAGUGCGGAUUGUAGUGGCUAUUUCUGGUUGUAAACUUGAUUAUAUCUGGAAUGAACUAUAAUCUAAAAUUGGAAGGCUCAACUGUGGUCCUGAUCUUGAGCCUGGGAGAUACAAGUUUCUGACCUGUAUCUUGGCAUGGAGAUCUUGAGCCAUAGUGGCUAUGAAUCCCAGGAAAAUAAGGCAAGGAGAUCUCUGAGUUCAAGGUCAUCUGGGACAAAGUAAGUCCCAGAUGCAGGCCUGGUGGUACACACCUUUAAUCUGCAUCAUACCUUCUGCCGAAGAUCUACAUAAGGACAUUGUAGGAAGGAAUAUGAUCUCUUCUUCACCUGCUUGUUUUGUGGGACUGAGCAAUUGCAAGGAUCCUUGGACUUCCAUUCACAGAUGCUGCUGACCACUUUUGGGCAGUUGGACUAUAGACUAUAAGUCAUUAACAAAUUCCCUUACUAAGUAAUACCUAUGGGUAUAAGUUCUGUGACUCUAGAGAAGCCUGACUAAUGCAUCCGCCAUGGAGAGCAAGAAGUAUGUCGUUGACUACCAGGCCACAGCCUAAGUCUCCCAUUGAAGGUCUCUCUGCGCUUCCAGCCACAGCCACCACCAAGAUAAGGACAAUCAUUGUUGAGCUAAGCUGGAGCUCCCCAUUUCCCCUGGUGCUAGAUGCCAUCCUCAGCUUGUGGGCCCCAAACUUGGCUCCUAACUCCUCAUGACUCAGUGAUGCCUAGAUGUCCAGGAGUUGGGAACAUCUAGUCCUGGCCUCAUCAGGGACCUGUAGGUGUCAACACUUCAUUCCCGACUUCUCUGUGCAAUUCUCCAGUGAUGACUAGUGAUCCAGAAGCCAGGGAAUACCACUUCUGGCUUUCUCAUAUCUCAGACUGCGCUUUCCCAGCCCUGGAAUGGUUUUUCCACAAUCCCCUGAAACCCAGCACGCACCCAGUCAUGCAUGGUAUAAGCACAGUCAAAAUCCUGUGUUUCACUUCCAAAGUGACUGUGCCCUGUAGUGAGACAAAAUACUGUCCCACACUUCUUUACUGAGUCCUUUCUUUUUUCAGUGAAUAUAUAAUUAUAUGACUUGUACUAUUUUUUCUGCUCAUCAUGACCCCACACUAAACAAAUAUUUGAAAAGAUCUGGUGAUGUAUGUUGGGAUAUUACUGGACUGUAGAAAUAGAAAUCAAUGACAUCUCUAAAAAUUCUGUGACACUAUUACCUGUUGUGCACAUUUAUAUAAACCCACAGUAUUAACAGUGCCAGUGACAAGAACAUUUGUAAGAAACUAGAGAGAAGUGAGCAAAUUUCUAGGACAAAUUUGUAUUAAGAUGAUAAAUUUGGAAACUAAAAAAAAAAAGCUGCGCAUAUAGCUUAGAUGAUAUCAUGUUUUUUUUUAAUAUCUGUGGAGCUCUGGGUUUGAUUACCAGCACUGCAUCUACCAGUCAUGGAGCUGCUGUCUGUAGUCUUCAUUUUGUACAAAAUACUCUUGGGUCUACCUUAGACUUCAGGAUUGUUAU